rnacentral:misc_RNA from 1 species
CCGAGUUAUACAACUCCUCAACCCCUGUGAACAUACCUAAUCGUUGCUUCGGCGGGAUCCCAGUUGACGGCAGCUGUAACCACGGGCGCCCCGCCAGAGGACCCCUAACUCUUGUUUUAUUAAUGUAUCUUCUGAGUAAACAAGCAAAUAAAUUA